rnacentral:rRNA from 1 species
UGGGGAAUAUUGGACAAUGGGCGAAAGCCUGAUCCAGCCAUGCCGCGUGUGUGAAGUAGGUCUUCGGAUUGUAAAGCACUUUAAGUUGGGAGGAAGGGCAGUAACCUAAUACGUUGCUGUCUUGACGUUACCGACAGAAUAAGCACCGGCUAACUCUGUGCCAGCAGCCGCGGUAAUACAGAGGGUGCAAGCGUUAAUCGGAAUUACUGGGCGUAAAGCGCGCGUAGGUGGUUUGUUAAGUUGGAUGUGAAAUCCCCGGGCUCAACCUGGGAACUGCAUUCAAAACUAACAAGCUAGAGUAUGGUAGAGGGUGGUGGAAUUUCCUGUGUAGCGGUGAAAUGCGUAGAUAUAGGAAGGAACACCAGUGGCGAAGGCGACCACCUGGACUGAUACUGACACUGAGGUGCGAAAGCGUGGGGAGCAAACA